rnacentral:rRNA from 1 species
AGAGUUUGAUCCUGGCUCAGGAUGAACGCUAGCUACAGGCUUAACACAUGCAAGUCGAGGGGCAUCAGGAAGAAAGCUUGCUUUCUUUGCUGGCGACCGGCGCACGGGUGAGUAACACGUAUCCAACCUGCCCUUUACUCGGGGAUAGCCUUUCGAAAGAAAGAUUAAUACCCGAUAGCAUAAUGAUUCCGCAUGGUUUCAUUAUUAAAGGAUUCCGGUAAAGGAUGGGGAUGCGUUCCAUUAGGUUGUUGGUGAGGUAACGGCCCACCAAGCCUUCGAUGGAUAGGGGUUCUGAGAGGAAGGUCCCCCACAUUGGAACUGAGACACGGUCCAAACUCCUACGGGAGGCAGCAGUGAGGAAUAUUGGUCAAUGGGCGCUAGCCUGAACCAGCCAAGUAGCGUGAAGGAUGAAGGCUCUAUGGGUCGUAAACUUCUUUUAUAUAAGAAUAAAGUGCAGUAUGUAUACUGUUUUGUAUGUAUUAUAUGAAUAAG